rnacentral:rRNA from 1 species
AGCGAACGCUGGCGGCAGGCUUAACACAUGCAAGUCGAGCGCCCCGCAAGGGGAGCGGCAGACGGGAGAGUAACAUGUGGGAACGUACCCUUCAGUUCGGAACAACCCAGGGAAACUUGGGCUAAUACCGAAUACGUCCGUAAGGAGAAAGAUUUAUCGCUGAAGGAUCGGCCCGCGUCUGAUUAGCUAGUUGGUGAGGUAACGGCUCACCAAGGCGACGAUCAGUAGCUGGUCUGAGAGGAUGAUCAGCCUCACUGGGACUGAGACACGGCCCAGACUCCUACGGCAGGCAGCAGUGGGGAAUAUUGGACAAUGGGCGCAAGCCUGAUCCAGCCAUGCCGCGUGGAUGAUGAAGGCCUUAGGGUUGUAAAGUCCUUUUAACGGGGAAGAUAAUGACGGUACCCGUAGAAUAAGCCCCGGCUAACUUCGUGCCAGCCGCCGCCGUAA